rnacentral:rRNA from 1 species
AGAGUUUGAUCCUAGCUCAGGAUGAACGCUGGCGGCGUGGAUAAGGCAUGCAAGUCGAAUGAGUAUGUCGCAAGACAUAUUCAUGGCAAACGGGUUAGUAAUACGUCGGAACAUACCUUAAGGUUCGGCAUAACUCCGCGAAAGCGGAGAUAAUUCCGGAUGUUACCGUGAUUCCUGUAAGUUUCACGGUCAAAGGAUUUAUUCGCCUUAAGAGUGGCCGACGGCCUAUCAGCUUGUUGGUGAGGUAAGAGCUCACCAAGGCUACGACGGGUAGGGGGUCUCACGAGGAUGUUCCCCAACACUGGCACUGAGACACGGGCCAGACACCUACGGGUGGCAGCAGCCGAGAAUCUUCCCCAAUGGACGAAAGUCUGAGGGAGCGACGCCGCGUGCAGGAAGACGGCCUUUGGGUUGUAAACUGCUUUUUUAGAGGAGCAAUGCCGACUUGUCGGUAUGAGAGUACUCUAAGAAUAAGAGGUUGCUAACUCUGUGCCAGCAGCCGCGGUAAUACAGAGACCUCAAGCGUUAUCCGGAUUUAUUGGGCGUAAAGGGUCCGUAGGGGGCUGAAUAAGCCAAAUGUAAAAUCUAUCGGCUCAACCGGUAAUCCGCAUUUGGAACUGUUCGGCUAGAGCACGUCAGAGGUCAUUGGAACUCACAGUGUAGGGGUAAAAUCCUUUGAUAUUGUGGGGAACACCAAAGGCGAAGGCAUUUGACUGGGGCGUUGCUGACCCUGAGGGACGAAAGCUAGGGUAGCGAAUGGGAUUAGAUACCCCAGUAGUCCUAGCUGUAAACGAUGAGUGCUAGAUAUCGGAAGAUUCGACCCUUCCGGUGUCGUAGCUAACGCGUUAAGCACUCCGCCUGGGAAGUACGGCCGCAAGGCUAAAACUCAAAGGAAUAGACGGGGAUCCGCACAAGCGGUGGAGCGUCUGGUUUAAUUCGACGAUAAGCGUGGAACCUCACCAAGACUUGACAUCUCUUGACAAUCCUGGAAACAGGACUUUCCUGAGCAAUCAGGACAAGAUGACAGGUGCUGCAUGGUUGUCGUCAGCUCGUGCUGUGAAGUGUUCCGUUCAGUCGGGUAACGAGCGCAACCCUCGCCGUGUGUUGUAUUUUUCACACGGGACUGCCCUCGUAAGAGGGAGGAAGGCGGGGAUGACGUCAAAUCAGCAUGGCCCUUAUGUCUUGGGCUACACAGGCGCUACAAUGGCCACCACAAAGGGUUGCCAACUCGCGAGAGGGAGCCAAUCCCGCAAAAAGUGGUCAUAGUUCGGAUUGGAGGCUGAAAUUCGCCUCCAUGAAGUCGGAAUCGCUAGUAAUCGUGGAUCAGCCACGCCACGGUGAAUAUGUUCCCGGAUCUUGUACUCACCGCCCGUCACACCAAGGGAGUUGGGAGCACCUGAAGCACUCCAUUUAGGGGUACUAUGGUGAGUCCAGCGACAGGGGUGAAGUCGUAACAAGGCACCCGUAGCGGAAGCUGUGGGUG